rnacentral:rRNA from 1 species
UACGAAGGGGGCUAGCGUUGUUCGGAAUUACUGGGCGUAAAGCGCGCGUAGGCGGUUUGUCGCGUCGUUCGUGAAAACUUGGGGCUUAACUCCAAGCGUGCGGGCGAUACGGGCAGACUUGAGUACUACAGGGGAGACUGGAAUUCCACGUGUAGCGGUGAAAUGCGUAGAGAUGUGGAGGAACACCAAUGGCGAAGGCAGCCUUCUGGGCCAACACUGACGCUCAUGCACGAAAGCGUGGGGAGCAAACAGG